rnacentral:rRNA from 1 species
GACAACCUGGUUGAUCCUGCCAGUAGUCAUAUGCUUGUCUCAAAGAUUAAGCCAUGCAUGUCUCAGUACAAGCCAAAAUAAGGUGAAACCGCGAAAGGCUCAUUAAAUCAGUUAUGGUUCCUUAGAUCGUACCAACAUUUACUUGGAUAACUGUGGUAAUUCUAGAGCUAAUACAUGCAAACAGAGCUUCGACCGGAGACGGAAGAGGCGCUUUUAUUAGAUCAAAACCAAUCGGCGGCGGGUUCGUUCGCGGGCUCGUCGUCGUUUUCACUGACGAAUCUGAAUAACUUUCUGCUGAUCGCACGGUCUCGCACCGGCGACGCAUCUUUCAAAUGUCUGCCUUAUCAACUGUCGAUGGUAGGUUCUGUGCCUACCAUGGUUGUAACGGGUAACGGGGAAUCAGGGUUCGAUUCCGGAGAGGGAGCCUGAGAAACGGCUACCACAUCCAAGGAAGGCAGCAGGCGCGCAAAUUACCCACUCCCGGCACGGGGAGGUAGUGACGAAAAAUAACGAUACGGGACUCAUCCGAGGCCCCGUAAUCGGAAUGAGAACAAUUUAAAUCCUUUAACGAGGAUCAAUUGGAGGGCAAGUCUGGUGCCAGCAGCCGCGGUAAUUCCAGCUCCAAUAGCGUAUAUUAAAGUUGUUGCGGUUAAAAAGCUCGUAGUCGAAUCUGUGUCCCGCGCCGCCGGUUCGUCGCUCGCGGCGUUUAACUGGCGUGUCCGCGGGACGUCCUGCCGGUGGGCUUAGCCUUUUCAUUAAGGCGGCCCAAUCUUAAUCCCGCCGCGGUGCUCUUCACCGAGUGUCGAGGCGGGCCGGCACGUUUACUUUGAACAAAUUAGAGUGCUUAAAGCAGGCUAAAACUUCGCCUGAAUACUUCGUGCAUGGAAUAAUGGAAUAGGACCUCGGUUCUAUUUUGUUGGUUUUCGGAACCCCGAGGUAAUGAUUAAUAGGAACGGAUGGGGGCAUUCGUAUUGCGACGUUAGAGGUGAAAUUCUUGGAUCGUCGCAAGACGGACAGAAGCGAAAGCAUUUGCCAAAAACGUUUUCAUUGAUCAAGAACGAAAGUUAGAGGUUCGAAGGCGAUCAGAUACCGCCCUAGUUCUAACCAUAAACNAUGCCAGCUAGCGAUCCGCCGANGUUCCUNCNAUGACUCGGCGGGCAGCUUCCGGGAAACCAAAGCUUUNGGGUUCCGGGGGAAGUAUGGUUGCAAAGCUGAAACUUAAAGGAAUUGACGGAAGGGCACCACCAGGAGUGGAGCCUGCGGCUUAAUUUGACUCAACACGGGAAACCUCACCAGGCCCGGACACCGGAAGGAUUGACAGAUUGAGAGCUCUUUCUUGAUUCGGUGGGUGGUGGUGCAUGGCCGUUCUUAGUUGGUGGAGCGAUUUGUCUGGUUAAUUCCGAUAACGAACGAGACUCA